UACGUAGGGGCCAAGCGUUGUUCGGAUUCAUUGGGCGUAAAGGGUGCGUAGGCGGCGCGGUAAGUCGGGUGUGAAAUCUCGGGGCUUAACUCCGAAACUGCAUUCGAUACUGCCGUGCUUGAGGACUGGAGAGGAGACUGGAAUUUACGGUGUAGCGGUGAAAUGCGUAGAUAUCGUAAGGAAGACCAGUGGCGAAGGCGGGUCUCUGGACAGUUCCUGACGCUGAGGCACGAAGGCCAGGGGAGCAAACGGG
rnacentral:rRNA from 1 species